rnacentral:rRNA from 1 species
CCUACGGGGGACAGCAGUAGGGAAUCUUCCACAAUGGGCGAAAGCCUGAUGGAGCAACGCCGCGUGGGUGAAGAAGGUCUUCGGAUCGUAAAACCCUGUUGUUAGAGAAGAAAGUGCGUGAGAGUAACUGUUCACGUUUCGACGGUAUCUAACCAGAAAGCCACGGCUAACUACGUGCAAGCAGCCGCGGUAAUACGUAGGUGGCAAGCGUUAUCCGGAUUUAUUGGGCGUAAAGGGAACGCAGGCGGUCUUGUAAGUCUGAUGUGAAAUCCUUCGGCUUAACCGGAGUAGUGCAUUGGAAACUGGGAGACUUGAGUGCAGAAGAGGAAGGUGGAACUCCAUGUGUAGCGGUGAAAUGCGUAGAUAUAUGGAAGAACACCAGUGGCGAAGGCGGCUCUCUGGACUGUAACUGACGCUGAGGUACGAAAGCGUGGGUAGCAAACAGGAUUAGAUACCCGUGUAGUC